rnacentral:rRNA from 1 species
GAACGAACGCUGGCGGCGCGCCUAACACAUGCAAGUCGAACGAGAAUCCGGGGCAACCCGGUAGUAAAGUGGCGAACGGGUGAGUAAUAUAUCGGAACGUGCCCAGUAGUGGAGGAUAACUGCUCGAAAGAGCAGCUAAUACCGCAUACGACCUGAGGGUGAAAGGGGGGGAUCGCAAGACCUCUCGCUAUUGGAGCGGCCGAUAUCAGAUUAGCUAGUUGGUGGGGUAAAGGCCUACCAAGGCUACGAUCUGUAGUUGGUCUGAGAGGACGACCAGCCACACUGGGACUGAGACACGGCCCAGACUCCUACGGGAGGCAGCAGUGGGGAAUUUUGGACAAUGGGCGCAAGCCUGAUCCAGCAAUGCCGCGUGCAGGAAGAAGGCCUUCGGGUUGUAAACUGCUUUUGUCAGGGAAGAAAUCUUCUGGGUUAAUACCUCGGGAGGAUGACGGUACCUGAAGAAUAAGCACCGGCUAACUACGUG